rnacentral:rRNA from 1 species
AUGGUCAUACACUUCCAAAAUCGCAGCCAGACACUACAUACACAUGAUUCAGUCGGAUGCAAGUCGGACACUAGCUCAUACACUUCCAAAAUUCAUGGUGCCGCUGCCUCGCUGCAGCUGCUCUCGCUGAGUCCUCGAGCUGCUUCGCCCGCCUCCACCCCGAGACCAGCAGCGGCUAGGCGCCUGCUCCUCGACCGAUUCCCCGUGCGCGCGGCUCCGCCAGCUUCGGCCCGCCGCUCGCGGCUGCGCCUCCUGUUCUGUCAGCGCGUCUGCGCUGCGGCGUCCGACUCCCUUCGAGCGACGGUCCCCCAUGUCUCCCCGUCGCCUCGCACCGUCUUGCCGCCACUCAAGGCCGGCCCUACAUCGCCUCGCUCCUCCGCGGACGAGUGCCCCGCGCUGGCUCUGCCUGGCCGCCUCCGACAUCCGCCCUGCGGCCUCCCCGUUCCGGACCGCGCUGGCCCCGCGCCUCCAUCCGGCUCUGCGUGCUACGCCGCCAGAUCGCCGCGCCUGCCGGCCGGUUCCCGCAGACUCGGACCCGGCUCGCCUCGUCUGUCGCAGCCGCCGGCCUCCCAUGCCUUCCGUAAAAUCGGCCCGGCUGGCUCCGCGCCUUCCGGGUUCGGCUCCCCCACACCGCUGCGCCAUCUCCGGCGUCAAUCGCUGAGUCCGGCUCCUCCCGCGCGGGGUCCAACACCUCCCGGCCUCCCUCACGCGGGCUCGCCUCCGCGGACGGCCGGCUCCGCCCGCCACCCGGCCGGCCCUGCCGCCUGUCGUCUUCAUCCACAACCCGAACGGCCAGCUUCGCCUGCAGCGCCUGGUCUAGCUCCGCCCGCGCCGACCUCGCUCCCCAGUGCGCGGACCCGCGGCCGGGUCCUCCUCGCCAGCUCCUUCCUGCGUCGCUCGGGCCUUGUCCCCGCGGCCGGCUUCGCCAGCGCCUGGCCGCCGGAUCCCCGCGCCCCUCUGCUUCGCCCUGGCCGCAUCCCGGCCCCGGGUGGCCGACUCCCCGCCUGGCCGACUUCGCCUAAGGCCGUCUGCCGCCCGCCUCGGCCCGGCACCCCGCCGGGUUGCGCCCCAGCCGGCUGCUCAGUGCAGAUGGAAAAAGAGCCGCUUGCCCAUUGGCCGGCUUGA